CUUCGAUUGAGAGUUGGAGUUUCUCUCAUAAAAGUUCAUGAACUUGGAUGAGCCCAAGGCCAUAUUAGGGCUAAGCGAGAUUUUAUGAGGAAUACAAGAAUGUUGUAUUUAUGUGUGUGGUAUCACUGGUGUUGUCAUGAGGAAUAACAAAUUCAAAGCUUUUAUGCUAUUUGGGAUUUCGACUUCACUUUGUGAUGCUUACACUAAGGUAAUAUUCAAAUCGAAAGAUAUAUUACUUUAUUCAUAAAUACUAUUUAAUCACUUUGAGAAAAUUUUAAAUUUGAACAAGUGGGGGAUUGUUAUAAAUUGUUCAAAUUAAGAAUUUCUUUUCAAAAGAUUUAUUUGAAAAGGUGUUUUCUUUUAUUUUUUGUAGUUAUUUUUCAAAGGUUGUGUCUUUUGAGAAAAUAGUUAUAAUUUUCAAUGGUUGUGUCUUUUGAGAAAAUAGUUAAUUUUCAAAGGUUGUGUCUUUUGAGAAAAUAUCUAUAAAUAGCUAUUUGGGGGUAAAUUACCAAAACAACUCUUUCAUGCUCUUCUUCUUUACUCUCCAAGUGAUUGAGUUAGACAUUCUCCAAUUCCUUUCUGAAGAUUCUUUAUUGUUUGCUCAAUACAGAUCUUCUAAAGGCUUGUCAUAUCCACUAAAACUAUUUGCAUCAAACCCAGAGCAAUCUUAUUGAGAAGAGGGUGCAAAUAUCAUUUUUAGGAAAGUGUUUAUACACGUUUCAAGCCUAAAUAUCUUUCCUAAAGUAUUCUUGAUCUUGUGUUUGUUAUUUGUUUCCAUAGUGGGUUUUUUCCUCUUCUUUGUCGUACCUCU
rnacentral:lncRNA from 1 species